CUGCAGUCAAUUAAGCCGACUGUGCUCUUUUCCUUGUGGGGCCCAGUGUGCAAUGGCUGCAAACAGUAUUCUCCUCGGUAGUGUAUGCAGCCUGUUUGCCUGUGUGGGUUGCCCUAAGGGACCUUGGAGACAGCC
ensembl:snoRNA SNORA70 Small nucleolar RNA SNORA70